rnacentral:lncRNA from 1 species
GAAACCUCCAUGGGAGCAACCCUGCGCCGAAUAUUUCCAGACCGACUCAAUGAAAAACUGGGUCUUCUCCCAAACUUUUCGGGUCGGAUUGAACUCGAGGGAUUCAACGUUUGAACAGCUUUAUCAUCUAUUGCAGCAAUAGCACUACACAAUACACAGUGAAACAAUGGAGAUUUUUCCACAAAAAUAUAAUGGUUUGCAAGAGUAUUUGAGAUAUCUCUUCUCGUCCACAAGUCCUCGUCAGCCCUAAGUUAAUAAUAAAAUCCAACGAUAAACUAUAAGAAAUUAGCACUUAAACAGGAAAUACAAAGCAACAUUUGUGGAAUACACUCUAGAAUUAUCAACAAGUUUGCAAUAUCUUGGAAAUGUAAUAACAAAUCUUU